UUUUUUUUUUUUUUUUGAUGUGUUUGUGGGAGAGGGUGAGCCUGUCCUCUUACUCUUCUGCCAUCUUGCCUGAGGUCUCGGCUACUGGAUGUGAUUUUCAAACACUGAGAUCAUUUUUGAUUUUCUGAAAUUGCUAUAUGCACAAAGUUUAUAUUCUAAAUUGUUUGAAAUAUAGCUGAUAAUUCUGGUAUUGGCAACCUGGAUUUUAGAGAGGCACUCUACCCAUCAUAGUGAGUAAUAAAUGUCAAUAGUUAGUAUUGCAGUUUAUGAGUACCUAAAAUUUUGCAAGGUAUAAAUAGGUUUAAAUGUAUUAUAUUUAUAUUCUAAAAUAAUACUUUUGCUAAUAUCCAAUUUAUAAUCAUGAGUUGAUUUAGACAUUCACUAAAAAUGACCUUUUAAGCUUAGCGAGAAAGAAAAACCAUUUGCGGUUUUGAUAAAUUUGUAAUUUCUCAAAAGAAAACAUCUGAAUUUUUUUUUUUUUUUUUUGGUGUGUGUGUGUCUGGUUAAAUUGGUGAUUUACCUUCCAAUGUAAACACUUUUUUAGUCAACAAUCCCUCUCCACCAAACAAUAAUAAUCUUCCAAGUUAAAUUUUUUAAUAUGGGAAAUGAAUAUCACCUUGGAUAUUAAAUCCUUAUCAUGCUAAAGUUUAGAGUCUGUCUUUCAUUAAUGAUCUUUAGAAUUUUCGCUUCACUAUUGUGGAACUAUCUUUACUGUUGUCUAAUUCCUGCGUGUAUAUAUUCUCCUUGCCAAGAGGGAGAGAUCUCUUUUUGGUCAGGGGCUACUGCUAGCAGAGUAGGAGGCUAAUUUUCUCAUGCUUGAGCAAAAUGAAAGUUCUUAGUGAAGAUAAUUAGGCUUUACUUUCAGGAUGGAAAGACAUGAUAGUAGGUGAAGGGGGGAGGAUUAAAAAAGAGAUUCAUACUACAUAAUGCAAUUGUGUAGACCAGAAGUGACAAGGACAUGGUUCCCUAGAAUUUGAAUUAAGAAAAACAUGGCUUUUAAUUGCCAGCACCUUUAGGUUGGCAUCUAAUGAGAAUAUUUCAAACUAGGCAGGGUGUUCGGUAUUUCAAAGUAAUGCAAUGCUAAGCAUUAAAGCCAGAGGUUAGUCACUUGUUCUACAUGACUGUCCACUUGAACCUGACUGCCUUUGAAUUUCCUAUCAGUUUCAUAAACAGGAGCUCAGCCAAAAAUGGGCCCAGGAGAUGCCACCAUGCCCAGGUGUGCUGGUGAAGAGGAGACACAUGUCACAUCCUCAACUUACCAGGGAGGGAUACUUAUGUGACCUCUUUGGCUCCCCUUCUGAGAUAGAAAAAAAAGAUCUGUCUGUGAAAAAAAGAGCUCCUGUAUUUUCUUUUCUUUCUGUCACAUCUGUGCCUGUGAUUUCUGCCAUGGCUUGCUGUGUGUGUAUUUCCUUUCUCCAUUGCUCAGUGUCAGUUUGGUUGUAAGUCCCAGAAAGUCUUAAUGGUUUUCAAUGAAGCUAGCUUUUGCCCCUUUUCAAAAUAGCCUUUUGGCUAAAUAGGGGGUUAACAGCCUUGCCACAGAAGGUGAUUGCAAAUUCUGUCAGGUGAGAGACCACUGCAUUUAGGUGAUGAAGAGUAAGUGAAAAUCAUUACCCAGAAGGGACUGAGGUCUUCACUGGUACAGACUGAUGAGAAAAGUUUAGGGCUGGGCUCUGGAGCCACUCUUUUGGGCCAUUGAAUCCCUUGCAUAUGGAUGAGCAGUGAAAGUUUCAUGACCACUCCUGGGCAGACAGGUUCCAUUUGGUGGGUUUUGGGGUCAGUAUAGGGUUGGGGGUAUGAAUGUGGUCCUUCCAGCAUCUUCUGAAUUCCUCUUUCCUCUUAGCUGACAUCAAUGGUACAUAUUCCAAAAUUUGGCAGUGGAAUGUGUGUGGGAAACAGGCAGUUGUCCAUAAGACUUCACCUUAGUGUAGUCUAUGUAAUAAACCAGAUUUUUAAAUGAAUAUUCAUUCUAAAUUUUUAAAAUUAUUUUUUUCCAUUAUAGUUGGUUUACAGUGUCCUGUCCUAGUUUUUAUGAUAUUUUAACCUGUGUUUUCCUUUUCAAGGCAGCUAAAUAGCUAGAAAAUCUGUGAGAAAAUCAAUCAUUCAAUCUGUCAAAAAUAAAAACAAAAAAAUCAUACUUCUAUACUUUGUGGCAAAUACAUAGUGAAUCCAGUACCAUAUGCCUGUAACUUUUAUGUUCUGUUAGGAGUUAUGUGCAACUUAUAAAAUAAGGGCAAGGGAAAACAAUUAUUCAUUCCUAAACUUUUUUCACUGGUAUAUUUCACAAAAUGUUUCCCUAAUUCUUAUGUCUAAUAGCUGCUAUUAAAACAUAGUUUAAAUGCACAAAACGGAUAUACUGAAAAAGAAAAAAUGUUAACAUGCCGUAUAUAUUUAGCAUUUAUAUAUUUUUAUUUCUCUGUAAAUAAUUCUGGGAUUAUUACAAUGGUAAGGUUGAAACUAGUCUUUUUUUUUUUUUUUUUUCAUUCUCCCUACUCUUCCUUCUUUUCUUAACCUAAGUAUCAUUCUUGAUUCCUCUGAUUUUCUUUCUCUAGUAUUUUCUAGUUCAUUUUGUUCUUUUUACUUUGAUUUUUCUAUAUUCUUUCCUUUCCUCUUUUUCAUUUUCUAACUUCUUUUUCCUGUUCUUUCUUGCUGCCUUUCUUUCUCCUUUGUUGUAUCUUAAAAGAAUAAAGAAAUAAAAUUUGUCCACCAGAGGGCAGUCUAAUUCCACACACACACACACACACACACACACACACACACACACACACACACACACACACACCACCCCCACCCCCACCCACCCACCCAUACAUACCCCCACACACUUUUUCUCCCUCUCUCAUUCUCUUCCUCUCUCUCUCUCCUUCUCUUCUUUUACAACCCUCUUCCAGGAGGAAUGUGAAUGAAAGUAGGUGGUAAACAAAACAAACCCCCAAAACCCUUUUUUGUUUAUAAACACCUUUCAUUAUUGCUUACGCAUGGUCCUGUAGUCCCAGUGGUUUGAUUUGUGAAUACUCAAUCUUCUCUAGGUUUCUCUAGGUUUCUAUAGAACCUUUCUGAAGGAGACAAUAAAAUGACUUGGGUUUGUUUCAGAAGCUACCAAAAUACAUGAAAACGAAAAUAUGGGCUGUGUGAUUUUGAGUGUAUAAGACAUGAAGCGUCAGUAGACUCAUUUAUGGAAUUCCUGUAAAAUACAUGUGACUCCAGCAUUUAAGAAUUUUACACUUUCAUUUAAAAACUUUAUAAGCGAAGUUUUAAUUUUUCUGUAUUACUGCAAUCAUCUGGGCUUCAGUUUACUUCUCUAUAUAUACAAAUACUUUUCACUAUAACCCUUACAAAAUUUCUGUAUGUUCCCUAUGUGAGUGGGAGGUCAGUGUCCAAAAAGAAAGAGCUUGAGCUUUCCCUCAUCUUUGUCACCUGAAAGUCCAACUUAGCCUGCCUCAGAGGUUUGGGUGAAGAAAGGAAUUUUCUUCAUAGAAGUUUGGUGACUUUUGACUUGAGAUGUGCAGAGGUCUGAGAGGAAGUCUAAGUUUAUUAUCUAAAGUAAUGACAGAGAAAAUGAUGGACUACAAGAAUAUUCUGAAAAAAGAGGGGUGCCUGAGCAACCCAUUCAAAGGCUAAAAUACUGGAGGAAGAAAGGAGAAGAAAGUUUCAUGGUUAGACUUUCAGUUUCUGCAACCUUGAGCUGUGCCUUAUAUGUACAAGGACACAGAGUGUGUACGAGUCUAUCUUGUGUAAUCAGCACAAACUUUGAAAUUGAUUGGAAGCUCUCAGUAAGUUUGAUGUUUUAAAGGGGAUAUAGAAUUCACUAGUUUCAGAAUACUAGGCUAAGUCAGUAGCAUUGGACAUUCUAGGCUUAUCCUGAAAUAAAAUAGAUGGAGAAAAUACCUGUGAUUUUUCAGUUGAAUGAGUAUAUAAUGAUCUCCUACUACUCUUUCCGAGGAUUUCAAUGGACAGACAAUUUCUGCCAUAGGAAUACUUUCUCAAAAGAUUUUAUCUUUCUGUGGUACAGGAUGUUACUUUUUUUAUGCAUUACUUAUCCCAGGGGUAUCUGCAUUGGUAGGUAUUUUGGAAUGUGAAGUGUGGUUUUGUACUUCUGCCUGCAGGAAUACUGAGGAGAUGUAGCUGAAGAGGUAUUUUCAAUUUGGUGCUGAUCCAGAUUGAAAAAAAAAAAAACUUGCUAAAGAGACUAAGCUCAGAAUUUUAAAAGUUCAUUUUUAAUCUGAAUAUCCUGCCAGGCACUAAACAUGUUGGCUCAAGUAGAAAAGAGCAAUUGCUGUCAUGAAACCAUAAAGCUAGAAAGAACCAGGAUUUUGCAGUAGGUUUCCACGUCUUGCAGAUAUGUAACUGAAGUCUGCAUAUAUUAAAACAAAUUUUUCCAAAGACAUAAUGAUUAUGUGUAAUAUUUCUUUCCAAAUAAUUUUAAGAUAAAUAUAGAGCUAGAAUACCCAACUGAUCUUCGACAUAACCACACACAUGUAUUCAACUACUUCAAAUACUUACCAGGUUAUUGUUCCUAUAGCUUUAUCUAUGGCUACUUAUCAUUUAUCCUAUAUAAAUAGAGUUUUUUAGGGUAAGAGGAUGGUAUUAAGGAGGCAUGUGUUAUUGAGGAGAUGCCCUUUUUACUUUACAAGGAACUCGUUAUGACUCUUGCCCUAAAGAACUUCACAAAAACAAAACAAAUAUUUAAGUUAAUGUGAUUAAAUAAAAUAAUGAUGAUCAUGCAUCUAAAGUUUCACACAAAGGUUUCAGUGACUUAGGUGAUCACAUAUUCUUUGUUUUAAAAGGCAAGGACUAAUUAUUUCUUUUGGGCACUCCAUCUGCAAUUUGGUUUGCUGUCUCUAGGAAAGUGGUUCUCCAAGUAUGGUCCUCUGCUCCCCAUGAGGAGCAUUAGUAGUGCCUGGGAACUUGUUAGAUAUGCAAAUGCUAUAGCCCACUCCAGACUUACUAAAUCAGAAACUUGAGGAUGGUGAGGUAUGAGCUCAGAACUCUGUUUUUCUAGCCCUUCUAGUGGUUUUGAUGCCCAUUCAAGUUUGAGAACCCUUGUUCUGGGAGAACCAUGGUAUUGGUUUAUGAGAACAGAUUCUGCUAACUUUAAUAUUUUAAACUUUUUUCUUUUUUGCUAAAUUUUUCUGGGUAGAGUGAUCUUGACAAGGUUUAAAUCAUUUGAAGACUUUUCCCUUUUCACCUUAAAAUUUUUUUUUUUUAUUUUGUGGAUUCAAAGAUUGCUUUCU
rnacentral:lncRNA from 1 species